CUGCUCAAUGAAUUUUAAAUAGCUGCAGUAUAAAUAACUGUACAAAGGUAGCAUAAUAAUUUGUUUUUUAAUUGAAAACUAGAAUGAAUGAUUUAAUGAAAUAUAAACUGUAUCAAAUUUAAAUAAUAAAUUUAUUAUUUAAAUAAAAAAAUUUAAAUAAUUUUUAAAGACGAGAAGACCCUAAGAAUUUUAAUAAUAAUUUAUUAUAUUAUAUUAAUUGGGGAAAUUUUAAAAUUUUAAAAAUUUUUAAUUAAAAAAACAUAAAGUUUUGAAUAUUUAUUAUUUUUUAAAAAAAUAAAUUAAUUACCUUAGGGAUAACAGC
rnacentral:rRNA from 1 species